CUCAGGGCUGGCUGGGACCGGGCAGCAGAGUCUGAAACACGUCCUUGGAUUGGAUGCUAGAACCAGCGUUGAAUGUAACUUUCUUUCCGAUUGGUUAGACAGGUGCUUGGAGGGGUUGUAUCGGACCUAAGAGUAGAGGUUGAUUCCACUCUCCCACCACGCACUUUUCGUAUCAUCCUAGAUCUGGAUGCCCUUCAUGGAACCUAAAAACCAGCGAGUCCCGGAAAGGCCUCAGGCAAUUGCCAAGCCGAUGGCCUUCUGCCACUUAGUUAAUGUGCACCUGGCAGCUUAGGUGGCCGCGGAGAAAGCAACUUUGGCUGCACCAAGGUCCGGCACAAGUCUGGAGAAGCUUCAGCCAGUUCCAAUGGCUGGAGUCAGCUGGCAAAUACAGAAGCAGGAAACAUUACACUGAAGCUCAGAAAAUAAUAUCCCCAAAUGAAGGCAUCAGAAAUAAAAGUUCUUCUCUGACCUUCUUUCUCUCAAGACAUUGUAUUAUGAAAAAUUUCCAGCAUACAGAAAAGUUGAAGAACACCCACAUGCCUGCUACUCAGAUUCUACAAUAAACAUUUGCUAUAUUUGUUUUACCUACAUAUCUAGUCAUCCAUCCAUCCAUUCAUAUUAUUUUUAAUGCACGUCUUAUUUUUUAAUGCACUGUCAACUACAGACAUCAGUACUCUUCACCUCCAAACAUUUCAGCAACAUAUCAUUAACGAUAGUCAAAAAUUUGUUUAGAGUUCCUUUUGUUUUAAAUAAAAUUUAUAAAGAAUGAAAUGUGUAAUUCUUAAGUGUACUAUUCUUUGAGUUUUCACAAAUGCAUAGACCUAUGUAACCUAAAGUCCUAUGAAGAUGUAGAAUAUCCCAUCCCCCUAGGAAGUUCCCUCAUGGCCCUUCCAAAUAAUCUCUGCUUACUCUGGUUUUCAAGUAACCACUGUUUUGCCU
rnacentral:lncRNA from 1 species